rnacentral:tRNA from 1 species
GGGAGUAGAUGGGUGCUGGUGUGCCCUCUGGUCUUCAAAACCAGUUUGAGGGGUUAGUAGCUUCUUAGGUGGGUUCGAUUCCCACGUACUCCCGCCA